rnacentral:rRNA from 1 species
AUGUGUGUACCCAAGAACCAAGGAGGAAUGGGUUUUCGGGAUAUCCAUUGUUUCAAUUUGGCUAUGCUGGCUAAACAGGCUUGGCAUCUUCUCGAGAAUCCGGAUUCUCUAUGUGCUACUAUUUUGAGAGUUAAAUACUAUCCCGACAGUGACUUGUUGAACACUGACCUGAAGAAGGGAUCUUCCUUCACCUGGCAAAGUAUUAUGGCGGGUGUG